UACAUGGGGUGCAAACGUUGCUCGGAAUUAUUGGGCGUAAAGCGCGCGUAGGCGGUUACUCAAGUCGGAUGUGAAAGCCCUCGGCUUAACUGAGGAAGUGCACCCGAAACUGAGUAGCUAGAGUACUAAAGAGGGUCGCGGAAUUCCCGGUGUAGAGGUGAAAUUCGUAGAUAUCGGGAGGAACACCGGUGGCGAAGGCGGCGACCUGGGUAGAUACUGACGCUGAGGCGCGAAAGCGCGGGGAGCAAACAGG
rnacentral:rRNA from 1 species